rfam:Dipodomys ordii contig_27956, whole genome shotgun sequence.
GGUGGCUCAGUGGUAGAGUGCUUGCCUUGCAUGCAUGUGGCCUUGGGUUUGACUCCUCAGCACCA